UUUCCGGUUGAUCCUGCCGCCGGCCACCGCUAUCAAGUUCCGACUAAGCCAUGCGAGUCAAGGUAUCGUAAGAUGCCGGCAAACUGCUCAGUAACACGUGGAUAAUCUAACCUUGAGUAAGGGAUAACCUCGGGAAACUGAGGAUAAUACCUUAUAAUUGCUUAAAACUGGAAUGUUUAAGCAAUAAAAGUUCCGACGCUCAAGGAUGAGUCUGCGACCUAUCAGGUAGUAGGUGGUGUAAUGGACCACCUAGCCUCAGACGGGUACGGGCCCUGGGAGGGGUAGCCCGGAGAUGGACUCUGAGACAUCAGUCCAGGCCCUACGGGGCGCAGCAGGCGCGAACACUGUGCAAUGCGCGAAAGCGCGACACGGGGAGCUUGAGUGUCUUGGCAUAGCCAAGACUUUUCUCAUUCCUAAAAAGCAUGAGGAAUAAGUGCUGGGUAAGACGGGUGCCAGCCGCCGCGGUAACACCCGCAGCACAAGUGGUGGUCACUUUUAUUGAGCCUAAAGCGUUCGUAGCCGGUUUUGUAGAUCUUUAGAUAAAGCCUGAAGCUUAACUCCAGAAAGUCUGAAGAGACUGCAAGACUUGAGAUCGGGUGAGGUUAAACGUACUUUCAGGGUAGGGGUAAAAUCCUGUAAUCCCGGAAGGACGACCAGUGGCGAAAGCGUUUAACUAGAACGAAUCUGACGGUAAGGAACGAAGGCUAGGGUAGCAAACCGGAUUAGAUACCCGGGUAGUCCUAGCUGUAAACACUGCCCAUUUGAUGUUGCUUUUCCGUUGAGGGAAGGCAGUGUCGGAGCGAAGGUGUUAAAUGGGCCGCUUGGGAAGUAUGGUCGCAAGACUGAAACUUAAAGGAAUUGGCGGGGGAGCACCGCAACGGGAGGAAUGUGCGGUUUAAUUGGAUUCAACGCCGGA
rnacentral:rRNA from 1 species